rnacentral:rRNA from 1 species
AGCCUGAACGCUGGCGGCGUGGCUAAGACAUGCAAGUCGUACGGAUGUAGCAAUACAUCAGUGGCGAACGGGAGAGUAAUGAAUCGCUAAUGUGCCCCGGACUCUGGGAUAGCCAGUUGAAAGACUGGGUAAUACCAGAUGAGACCACGAACAGGCAUCUGUUGUGCUCAAAGGUCCGCCGGUCUGGGAGCAGGCGAUUUCGUAUCAGCUAGUUGGUGAGGUAACGGCUCACCAAGGCGACGACGCGUAGCCGGACUGAGAGGUUGGCCGGCCUCAUUGGGACUGAGACACUGCCCAGACUCCUACGGGGGGCUGCAGUAACGAAUCUUCCGCAAUGCACGAAAGUGUGACGGAGCGACGCCGCGUGUGGGACGAAGUCCUUCGGGAUGUAAACCACUGUCAGGGGUUACCAAGUUCUGAGGAGCCCCAGAGGAAGGGACGGCUAACUCUGCGCCAGCAGCCGCGGU